rnacentral:ncRNA from 2 species
UUGAAUAUCGAGGUUGUCAGUGUCCUUCCGUAGAAGGACCUAACAGAGAAGCUCGUGAGAAGCGAGUGCGGACCCGCCGCUGUAAUUAGGGACGAACCCUGAUGUGACGCCACUGUUUCGUUAUAACGGGACGGGAAGGUUUCAGGAAGUAGGAUGAUCUAAGAGCCAGAAGACCUGCUGACAAUCACCGAACCUU